UACGUAGGAGACGAGCGUUGUCCGGAGUUACUGGGCGUAAAGGGUGCGCAGGCGGCCCUGCGCGUCGCGAGUGAAAUCUCCUGCUCAACUGGGAGGGUGCGCCGGAAACUGGAGUGCUUGAGCGUGGGAGAGGAAAGCGGAAUUCCUGGUGUAGCGGUGAAAUGCGUAGAUAUCAGGAGGAACACCUGUGGUGUAGACGGCUUUCUGGACCAUAGCUGACGCUGAGACACGAAAGCGUGGGUAGCAAACAGG
rnacentral:rRNA from 1 species